CCUACGGGAGGCAGCAGUGGGGGAUAUUGCACAAUGGGGGAAACCCUGAUGCAGCGACGCCGCGUGGGUGAAGAAGUAUUUCGGUAUGUAAAGCCCUAUCAGCAGGGAAGAAAGAAGACGGUACCUGACUAAGAAGCCCCGGCUAACUACGUGCCAGCAGCCGCGGUAAUACGUAGGGGGCGAGCGUUAUCCGGAUUCACUGGGUGUAAAGGGAGCGUAGACGGCCGUGCAAGCCAGGAGUGAAAGCCCGGGGCGCAACCCCGGGACUGCUCUUGGAACUGUGCGGCUGGAGUGCGGGAGGGGCAGGCGGAAUUCCUGGUGUAGCGGUGAAAUGCGUAGAUAUCAGGAGGAACACCGGCGGCGAAGGCGGCCUGCUGGACCGCGACUGACGUUGAGGCUCGAAAGCGUGGGGAGCGAACAGGAUUAGAUACCCGGGUAGUC
rnacentral:rRNA from 1 species